GUAAUUGCCUUAUCUCGAUCAGUUAAUUAUGUGCUGUAUAAGGGUGUGCAACAUCAAUAUCGUGUAUUUCCAUGGACGAUUGGUUAUAAUCCAAAGGAGGAAACAACAAAAGCAGUGGUUUGGAUAUCGAUGCCGAAUCUUUCACCAGAUUUGUUCGCGAUGCCUUCUUUCUUAUCUAUCGCAUCAACUUUACAAAAACCAAUUUCCAUAGAUAAGGAAACACAAACUAAGUCCAGACCUAAUCUAUCGCAUCAGCAUUAGGAAAAUCAAUUGCCAUAGAUAAGGCAAUACAAACUAAGUCCAGACCUAGCAUAGCUAAGGUGAGAGUGAUUUUAGACUUAAUGGACAAACACCCUACUCGUGUGAGAGUUUAAAGCAUUGAUAAAAAUUCUGAAAAUGUUUUGGAAUUUUUCCAGCAAAUCGUCUAUGAUAAAUUACCACCUUUGUAUUGUAAUGGUUGUAAGUGCCAAGGUCAUGAUGAGACUACCUGCAUUUUACUUUUGGAACAAAAUAAUGGCGAUGCUCAUAUUGAGGAAC
rnacentral:lncRNA from 1 species